rnacentral:rRNA from 1 species
CCUACGGGAGGCAGCAGUGGGGAAUAUUGCACAAUGGGGAAAACCCUGAUGCAGCGACGCCGCGUGAGCGAUGAAGUAUUUCGGUAUGUAAAGCUCUAUCAGCAGGGAAGAAAAUGACGGUACCUGACUAAGAAGCCCCGGCUAACUACGUGCCAGCAGCCGCGGUAAUACGUAGGGGGCAAGCGUUAUCCGGAUUUACUGGGUGUAAAGGGAGCGUAGACGGCGAUGCAAGCCAGAUGUGAAAGCCCGGGGCUCAACCCCGGGACUGCAUUUGGAACUGUAUAGCUGGAGUGCAGGAGAGGCAGGCGGAAGUCCUAGUGUAGCGGUGAAAUGCGUAGAUAUUAGGAGGAACACCAGUGGCGAAGGCGGCCUGCUGGACGAUGACUGACGUUGAGGCUCGAAAGCGUGGGGAGCAAACAGGAUUAGAUACCCGUGUAGUC